GCAGGCGCAAUAAAUACACCUUGACUUCCGCGCGCUUCAGAAGAUAUAAAUAAGGAUGCCCUGGGGCUUGCUCGAUCUUUUCGAGAACGAUUGGGGCUCUGUGCGGGAGUCGGGUGUGAUCACGCAGGAUUCCAAAUAAAUUUGACUUGAGGAGAGAAGAGGAGCCUCACCAAUCAUUGGCAGUUAACACCCGUUUGGGUCCUUUUAUUUGGCAGGGAGGGUUGGUAAAAUGAAUGAUAGAUGCUGUUUUUAUAAGAUAAGCCUGGAGGUUUGGAAACUUGGGCAUAUUUGACUCUUUAAAACUGAAUACUAAAUUUGGGGAACAAGUUGAAUGUUCCAAAGGACGGGCCCAUUGAAAUUUAGGGAAUGCGGACAGCACUGAAUAUAGGCAUGUCUUAACAAUCUGGUCCUUUGACCCACAAAGCCCAAAGAUUCCAGAAUGCCUAUGAGGAGAAAACUUAAGGAAGCUAAGAUGCUACUUGGCCUUUUCUACUGUUCUCAAGUAAACUGGGUUUUCUAACUAUAUAACUGAAUGGAAAACAGAAGCCUAUCAGAUCCUAAGUGUCUUAUUAAAGAUCCAGGUCUGUUUAUAAUGUAUUUAUGAAUUAAAAUAAAGA